rnacentral:misc_RNA from 1 species
GAUCUCAGCAUUCUGGAGCAAGCCCGCAAUAUCAAAAUCAAAAUCUCGAAGCACCGAGUCUUGAGGCAGAGCAUUAUGACUGAUGUCAGGCUUUUUUCUUGUACUAGGAGACAAGCAUUUGAACAAUGUACAGUAAAUUUAUUUGUUUUUUCAUUUACUAAAGAGUUGUACUAUACAAUAUAACUAAUUCAAAUAAAAUAUUUAUGAUUCUCAGUCUAGAAUUAAUCUUCUCUCUGCGGAAAAAAAAAUAAAAAAUCCUUCUCUCUACACAAUUAGAAGAGGCAAGGCGGAACACUGAAUUAUGAAAUAGAGAGGCAGUCAGAGGUAUUGAAAAGGAAUUGCUGGAGGAAGUUAAAAGGGAAGAACUCUUUUGGGCGCAGAAGGCAAGAUAGGAGUGGUUAAAAACAGGGGAUAGGAACACCAGUUAUUUUCAUGCAAAGGUAACUCAACGUCGAUGCAGGAACCAGAUCAACAAUAUUCAGGAUCAUAUGGGACGAUGGUGUUCUAAUUCCAAGAAAUAUUAGAUGUCGCACUAAACUACUCCAACAACUUGUACACCACCUCGAGACCGAAUAACAUGAGUCAAGUUACGGUGGGGUUCUUGCCUAGAUUUACUGCACAAAUGAAUGAGAGUCUCACAAGAUCUUUCUCUAGGGAAGAAAUCAAGGCUGCGACCUUCUCUAUACACCCACAUAAAGCAUCAGGGAAGAUGGAAUUAGGGGCAUUUUUUUUCCAGAAGUAUUGGGGAAUAGUCAAAGAUAGUGUCUACGAGGCAGUGCUUGAAUUUUUCCACACAGGAGAACUCUUAGAGAAGUAUUAAUCACACCAUUAUCACUCUUAUCCCAAGGUCAAGC